GACGAACGCUGGCGGCGUGCUUAACACAUGCAAGUCGAACGGAAAGGCCCUGCUUGCAGGGUACUCGAGUGGCGAACGGGUGAGUAACACGUGGGUGAUCUGCCCUGCACUUCGGGAUAAGCCUGGGAAACUGGGUCUAAUACCGGAUAGGAGCCAUUUUUAGUGUGAUGGUUGGAAAGUUUUUUUCGGUGUAGGAUGAGCUCGCGGCCUAUCAGCUUGUUGGUGGGGUAAUGGCCUACCAAGGCGGCGACGGGUAGCCGGCCUGAGAGGGUGGACGGCCACAUUGGGACUGAGAUACGGCCCAGACUCCUACGGGAGGCAGCAGUGGGGAAUAUUGCACAAUGGGCGCAAGCCUGAUGCAGCGACGCCGCGUGGGGGAUGACGGCCUUCGGGUUGUAAACUCCUUUCGCUAGGGACGAAGCUUUUUGUGACGGUACCUAGAGAAGAAGCAUCGGCUAACUACGUG
rnacentral:rRNA from 1 species